rnacentral:rRNA from 1 species
GGGUCAGUAGGUUGGUCGUGCCACCGGUACGUACUGGUCUCACUGAUUCCUCCUUCCUGAAGAACCGUAAUGCCAUUAAUUUGGUGUUGCGGGGAAACAGGACUGUUACUUUGAAAAAAUUAGAGUGUUUAAAGCAAGCUAACGCUUGAAUACAUUAGCAUGGAAUAAUGAAAUAGGACGAUCGAUCCUAUUUUGUUGGUUUCUAGGAUUGACGUAAUUAUUAAUAGGGAUUGUUGGG